rnacentral:rRNA from 1 species
AACGAACGCUGGCGGCAGGCCUAACACAUGCAAGUCGAGCGCCCCGCAAGGGGAGCGGCGGACGGGUGAGUAACGCGUGGGAACGUACCCUUUGCUACGGAAUAGCCUCGGGAAACUGGGAGUAAUACCGUAUGUGCCCUUCGGGGAAAGAUUUAUCGGCAAAGGAUCGGCCCGCGUUGGAUUAGGUAGUUGGUGGGGUAAUGGCCUACCAAGCCGACGAUCCAUAGCUGGUUUGAGAGGAUGAUCAGCCACACUGGGACUGAGACACGGCCCAGGCUCCUACGGGAGGCAGCAGUGGGGAAUCUUAGACAAUGGGCGCAAGCCUGAUCUAGCCAUGCCGCGUGAGCGAUGAAGGCCUUAGGGUUGUAAAGCUCUUUCAGUGGGGAAGAUAAUGACUGUACCCACAGAAGAAGACCCCGGCUAACUCCGUG